rnacentral:lncRNA from 1 species
GCACAAAAAGAAAAACUUGGAAAUAAGAAAAGAAAUGUAAAAUUGCAUACAUAUAUACCUACAGCUCUAUUUACAACGGGCCACUGCCAUUUACAUACGGCCAGGGUCAGCGAACAAAGAAAAAUUAGCCAAACGACAACAAAAAAAACGGAAUAAAACUAACUCUACAAAAACUUUCACUCAGCGCCACCCGCGCCACUCUCAAUGCCACCUGCGCCACCAUCAGUGCCCUCGGAGCCAUCAUCAUCCCCUGGAGUGGCCGGAUCGAAGCCACAGCCAAGACAAGCAUCACGGGCCUUCUGAGGGUCCCCCUCAUAAACAUCUUCAUGAACAACGUCGGCCUCCCACAAUUUCUUAUACACGUUGAGCUGGGCCUCAGCAAACAACCAAAGAUCUCGAACGGGGCCAUAAGAGGCAGCUAGGUCCCUCAGGCACUGAUUCUCGGCCUCCAAGGCCGUAAUAUUAUCUACCGCAAUCUAGGCAUCCCGUUCGUAAAUUCUAAUGCGUUCCUCCAACCCCGCCGCUCUGAAAGCCGCAGCAGAUUUCUCCAGCUCUCGUUCCCUCUCGCGUACACGGACCGCCACCUACAAUGCCCCAGCCUUCGUCGAAGCAUCCCUGGCUUGCAGCCUCGAAGUAGUGAGCUCCUCGUCCAACUUAACCACCUGUCUAAUCAAGGUCUUCUACUUCCAAAUGGAAUGUCUGCAAGGCAAAAACAACAGUUAAAAUAGGAGGCAAAUCAAGGCAUGAAAAUAAACGAAACAAGAUCAUCACACGUACCCUAAAAUCCAUCACGGCCGCCUCAGUCAUUAGUCCGACGUUUGUAACGUCCCUCAGCGACAUGCUCAUCUCCUAGGAGCACAAAAGCGCAAAUAUCGGAACCAGAUUUUCCUCCUCAAGCAACAGGUUCUGCUCGGUAGGAAUCUCAGCAUACCGAUAUGGCCCCUCUGCAUGCGCUAUCGCAUUGAUGAAGCUUUCUUGGAUCAUGCGGACGUCGUCCGGAUCCAAGUUAGAUUCGGAGUAAACUUCCCCUCCCGCGAUGCCCCUUCCUUCCUUAAUCGGCCGAGAGGUCGAGGCUCCCUCCCCAGCCAAUGGGUUGACACUCACUUCUCCCACCAAAGCAGUUGUUGAGGAACCACCUUCCACCUCAACAGUUGGAACUGAUAAUUGAGUCGCCGAAGCGACGGUUUCAUUACGGCCUGAGCCGACCGGGGCAGCCCCCAUUGUAUUUUUGCCCUCAAGGGCAGGCACAGCCGCCUCAUUCUCCUCCACAUCCGACGGCGGGGAGUCCAAAUGUACCACCUCUGCUUUAUAUGUGAAGGCAACCCUAUGCCUAACCAACGACCUCUCCUCCUCUUCCUCAUCCUCGUUCAAAGGUGACUCCGCCCUAGGGCGAACAACUUUCGAAGAAGCGUCAACCCGAGACGUAGACCGUGCUAGGGAAUGUGCCGCCGCCGACUCAACUGAAGUCGCCCUCAAAACUGGACAUGGAAUCGGCGCCAUAACCAGCCGUGCAGUCGCACCCAGCCUGCGGAAAGAAAGUUGAGGAGUUCUCACACGGCGCACCCCCCCGAUCAACAAAAGAGAAGAAUUAAAAGGAGAAAAACUCAGCACGAGUGAAUGGAAAUGACACAAUAACUCAAAACACUCACAAGAAGCGAGCCUACGGCCGUGUCUUUCCCAGAAGGACGUCCAUGUACGAAUCCCACUGUCUGAGAGAGUAUAGCCUCGACCCAUUCACUAAUGCUGGGUAAAAGAGCUGGUGGUGCCCGCUCAGCUACAAACACAAGGUAGAGUCAACACUUAUCGGAACAAAGAACAAGAAAGAACGGAAGGCAGAAUUAGACAAAUGGAAAACUUAUGUAUAUGGUUCCAAGUCUCCGGGAACCCCACAACAUUCGCAACCAAAUGCUCGGUCCUGAUGUAGAAAAAAUUCUCGUAAGUACGAUGGAAGGCAGAAUCCGACGAAUGGAAAACUUACGUAUAUUGUUCUAAGUCUCUGGGUACCCCGCAGCAUUCGCAACCAAAUGCUCGGUCCUAAUGUAGAAAAAAGUUGUAAGUACGACAAUCGACCGCAUCAUCCAACUCCACAGUCAGACCCCACGAGGGAUUCGAAUCAUGGUACCACGGACCCUCUGAGGGGGAUACAGAGUCAGCACGUGCCGUAGCGUUAUUUCUCUUCGGGCCAAUUCUGCGUACUUGGCAAGCAUGGAAAAAGCUUGUGUUGACCAGGGCACACUUCAUAAUAACGACAAAAAAUCCGCUACCAACGCCGGAAGGGGAAGCUUGACCCCUAAUCUGAAAGGGUAAGCGUAGAAAAUGCAAUAUCCAGGGCGGUCGAUGUGAACCCUUUCCUCGCUCCUGGCAAGGAAGAUGUCGGCAGAACGAGGGAUACCCCAUUGCUCCCUUAAUUGGGCGAUGCCCACCUUCCCCACUUGUGGGGCCUCAUUGACCUGGUCCUCCCCCUCAUCGGUAGUAAAGUCAGUUACCAGACCAUUGGGCAAAGAGAGAAUAUCAACCGCCGAUGGGACCCUACCGAUAUCCACCGAUUCGGUGGCCCUCGCCACCAUUGAAAACCCAUCAAUCGCUGGAAAAAUUGCCAGGUUAAGGUCUAAGUGAGAACUGCUUGCCAUCACUGAUUACCGUGCAAUGAGUGAAUAAGGUUCACCUAAGAAGGAGAAAAGAUGGAGCUUAAGUGAAAGAAGACAAAGAACAACACAAAUUAACAAAGAAAAAGAGUGAGAGAAGUUGCUUCUGCAGAAAUCUUACUUAAACAGAUGCUGAAAAGUGAGAAAUGGAUGAUAUAACUCAUUGUUUAUACUGCAAAAGUGGCUUUCAUAAAUUCCAAAAGCCAUCAUUAACUACAUCACCAACUGCAAAACGGUUCGAAUCCACAAUAACAAGUGUUAUAAUGACAGAUAUCACGAAAUGGCUUUGCAGCCAUCAAUGAAUUCCAAAAGCCAUCAUUAAAUGCAUAACCAACCGCAAAACGGUUUGAAUCCGCAGUAACGUGUGUCAUUAUGACAGAUAUCACGAAACAACUUUGCAACCGUCAAUCGACACUUCGCCUUCGAAUCGAGUUUAACGACCUGGGUAUGUUUGAAGGACGUCCAGUACGCCUCCAUACACCGAGCACCAUUGCAGUGCACAUCAAGCGCACCCAUAUCCGAAGCAGCCUCCUGCGGGAAUACAUUUCCCUAGAUAAAAACAUCAUACGACCAUCUUCCAAGAAUAAAUGACUACGACCGUCUCCUAAAUAUAAACGGCUACGACCAUCCUCCAAUUAUAAAUGGAUACGGCCAUCUUCCAAGUAUAAACGGCUACGGCCAUCUUUCAAGUAUAAAUGGCUACGGUCAUCCUCCAAGUUUAAGUGGCUACGACCGCUUCCUAAAAAUAUAAAUGAUUACGACCAUCUCCUAAGUAUAAAUGGCUACGGCCAUCCACCAAGUGAAAGUGGCUACGGUCUUCUCCCAAGCAUAACUGGCUACUGCCACCUCCCAUGUAUAAAUGGCUACGUCCAUCCCUAAGUAUAACUGGCCACGGCCACAUCAAAACAAAAAAUGGCUACGACCACCUCUUAAGUAUAAACGGCUACGGCCAUCUUCAAAGCAUAAACAACUACGGUCGUCCUAGGUCACGGCCGAAACGACAUCCGAUCCCCGCUUCCGAAUCUGUUGAAUCAUAUUCGGUAAAGUCCGUUCAUCGAGUUCGACAAGAUCUCGACCUCAAUAAGCGGAGGGACUAACUGUAUGGGUCAAAAUCUUACUUGUGAUUAUUAAUGAGAUUAAUUCGCUCUUAAGCAUAUUCAGGAUAAUAAAUGGCUCAACCAUUCAUUACUAAUAAGCACUUAAAAGCCACCCAGUUUAAUCAAUGAGGCCACGGCCUACUCGUUAACAACGAGCGUCCCCUCAACAUGAUCACGGCAACCCAAUGCCAGCUGGCAAGAUUCAUAGCCAUAAAUACUAAGAGAAAGAACCCUAAGAGAGGGGGCUACUUCUUCUUCUUCUUCACUUCCACUUCUCAAAGAAGAGAAUACCAUUGUAAGGCUCUCAACCUCUCAAUGGAGAGGUAAUUAUCAAUAAAAGAUCUUUACCUCCCUCUCCUUAACAAAUAACAGUUGUCUCUUGUGUUUUUUAUUUGGUCUCUUGAUUUAUUACUAUCUACUAUGAUUGACCCCCGAUUUAAUUUUAUUGUUUUGUACUCGCAAAGUAUGUGCUAACUUUGAGUUAAACACUUCCUUAAAAAAUCCUUAAGCAAAUAAACAAAAUACAAAAUCAAUAAACUCCUCUAAGAAAUUACACCUUGUUAUUUGGCAAACCAUCACAAAAGAAAAGGUUGAGGGUGGUCUAGGCAUACACUCAGCUUCUUCAAAAAACCUAACCUUACUAACAAGCCUCGCUUGGAGGCUCCUUAAAAAUUCCUCCUCCCCUUGGGAUCAACUUAUAACAAGGAAAUAUGCCCAUAAAAAGUCAAAGAACAACACCUCCGUUAUUUGGACAACUCUUCUCAAAAGUUGAAAAAUAAGUAUAUAGCAGACUUACAUCAUCCAACAGCAGAUGGUCACCGUGAUAAUCAAAGUUAGGUGCAACCUACAUCACAUAUUACAAUCAAUCACAGUAAAGUAAAGCGGAAAUCUAACAGGGAAGACAUUAAUGAAACAAGAAAAGAACAUACAGAUUAGUAGAAGGGCCUCUAUUGUAGCAAUUCUGGUGCACAAAGAUGCAAUAACCCCAAUUAUAACAAAUAUUAGAGUUGUUACCAGAAAUCCCAUUUUUGCUUUGGAUCUAAACCAAAGGGGUACCGGUAGCCUACAUUAGGGUGAUUAGAUGCAUGUAUGAAGGAGCUAAAAUUCAGAUUAGGACAGUAGGAGGCGAUUCUGAGUAUUUUUCAGUUGUUACGGGGUUGCACCUAGGGUCUGCAGUCAGCCCUUUUCUUUUUGCCCUGGUGAUGGAUGCCAUAACGCAUCAUAUUCAAGGGGAAGUGCCAUGGUGCAUGCUAUUUGCUGAUGAUAUAGUCCUAAUUGACAAGACACGACGUGACGUCAAUGAAAGGCUAGAGGUUUGGAGACAUGCCCUUGAGUCUAAAGGUUUCAGGUUGAGCGGGACGAAGACGGAAUAUCUCGAGUGCAAAUUUGGGGCUGAGCCGACGGAAACGGGAGUGGAAGUGAGGCUCGACUCUCAAAUAAUCCCUAAGAGGAGUAGUGUCAAGUACCUUGGGUCAGUUAUUCAGAGGAUUGGGGUAAUCGACGAGGAUGUCACACACCGUAUAGGGGUGGAUUGGAUGAAGUGAAGGUUAGCGUCGGGAGUCCUGUAUGACAAGAAAGUUACACUGUUACUAAAAGGUAAGUUUUAUAAAGCAGUGGUUAGGCCUGCAAUGUUGUAUGGGACCGAGUGUUCCCAGUUAAGAACUCAAAAACCCAAAAGAUGAAGGUAGCAGAGAUGAGGAUGGUGAGGUGGAUGUGUGGGCAUACAAGGAUGGAUACGAUUAGGAAUGAAGAUAUUCGUGAGAAGGUGGGUGUGGCCACCAUAGAGGACAAGAUGAGGGAAGUAAGACUCAGAUAGUCUGAGCAUAUUCAGAGGAGGAGCACUGAUGCACCGGUGAGAAGGUGUGAGGGACUAGCUGUGGUGGGCAUGAUGAGAGGUAGAGGGAGCAGGGGACAAGAUGCAGGAAGCAAGACUCAAAUAGUUUGGGCACAUUCAGAGGAGGAGCACUAAUGCACCGGUGAGAAGGUGUGAGCGACUGGCUGUGGUGGGCAUGAGGAGAGGUAAAGGGAGACCUAAGAAGUAUUGGGGAGAGGUGAUAAGGCAUGACCUAGUGCGUCAUAGAAUUACUGAGGACAUGGCCCUUGAUUGGGGAUUGUGGAGGUCGAGCAUUAAAGUUGUAGGUUAGAGGAAGUUGUGGAUAUUUCUACAGCGCGCUAGAGUGAGACUAGCUAGUAUGAGGUAAUCUUAGGAUGUUACUGAUCAAUUACCGAUUCAAGGAGUUAUCUAUGGGAUAUUAGUAUACAUUUCAUCUAUUUCGUAUUUCUUAUAUUUCUUAUAUUGCUGAUAUUUUGUUAUUUUAUAUUAUGUUGUGUAUUUCUGUUAUUUUUAGUAUGAGUGUAUUGUUAGUACUAACUUAUCGUCUCUUGUCUCUUGUUGAUGUCUUGAGACGAGGGUCUCCUGGAAACAUCCUCUCUGCCCCUCGGGGUUGGGGUAAGGUCUGCGUACAUAUUACCCUUCCCAGACCCCACUUGUGGAUUAUACUGGAUUUAGCCUCUCUGCUCCUGGGUAGGGGUAAGGUUUGCGUACAUAUUAUCCUCCCCAGACUCCACUUGUGGGAUUAUACUGGAUUAUUGUUGUAUCUAAACCAACAAUCUCUGAGGUGCCUCUUAUUCUCUGAACUACCAAAAAAAUGGAUUUUUAUAGUUCAACAAACAACCGCACAAAAAAAGAACCCAUUUUUAUUGGUAAAUUGGAAGUUAUUUAUUUGUAUAUCAAAAGGCACAGUGAACACUAAUCAAUAUUAACAUUAUUCCAAAAUUCAAAAUUAAGAAUCAAUUUGGAAACAGGCACAUAAUAUGAAUUUGAUGUAUACUGCAGAAAUUGAUUGAAAAAAUAGCGAAAAUAUACAGAAAAUACGUACAGCUAAUGAGAGAAACAGAGAGAAGUUGAAGAAGCUCGAUCCGAAGUAGAAUUGUGGUGGAUGAAUC